GAGGACAUCUACGGGAAGCCCCACCCACACGCGGACGUUAAAGCGGUAAAGCUGGAGGCGCUGUAUGGUAGUAGCAGGCCGCCGAGAGACUGUCAGUCCUUGUGUAACAACGUCUGCCCCUCUCACCUGGUGAUCGUCUCCCUCUCCGUUCGGACGUCCCUACUUAUGGCACUCUUCUCCGGCCACCAUACUCCUGCCCAGUGUAAACCGGGAUCCCUCAGACGGUGUUUCUUUCACCACGCUGAAUGGAAAAACGGAAACCAGCCUUUGCUUAUUGAUUGGGCUGCACUGCUUCUCCCAAACGUUCAAAGUGACCAUGAGAAAACAAAUCAAAAACUGGAUCUGCGGGUCUGGCUUAACUCAGCCAAAUUGGCAGAAGCAGCCUGCCACCGUAAAUAUGGAAAUUCUUCUGGGCACGGAGCCAGUGUUCUUCCAUGGGACUGUUGCUUACAGAGCUUGCAGAUCCUGUGCCUGGCUCACCCUGUGGCUGUUACACUUCAUCAUGAAGGCUAACUUGUCAACUCGACAGGAUCUAGAUCCUGACUGAUGUAUGAGGUUCAGCAGAGAGAUUCAGGAAGCAUGGGGACGAUCAAGAGCCGCCAGCAGAUAACUCCUGCUUAGGACCACACCGUCAACAAACCUCAAAAUGCGUCCCUGAAAUGCUGAGGUGUUGGGGUACAUGGAGGCAAAGCCAACACUCUGAGGAACAGCAAAACAAUGGAGAUUCCAGAUGGCUCAAAAUCUCCCCAGCAGGACCCUACUGACCCUGUGGAUUCGGUGACUCCUUGCCAGACAGGUAUAAAUCCGGGUGUUGCCGUGACUUGUCCAGGUCACCAAAGCUCCCUUGGCAAAUGUGUGACUCAGUGGCCUCUGUAACCUGAGCGAUACUGGUGGCGGCACUGUUCUCUGGAUCUGGGCAAAGAAAAGCUGCCUGGGAGUGGAUUUCAGUGGUGCGUCUGAAGCAGUUCACUCUUCCUGCAUCCUGACCUGCUCCCCAGUCUGUGGGUCAGUAGAGCUCCACGGAACUCAACAGAGUUGUGAGCAGUGCAUCACAGGGGAUUUAACUUAUCUGAACACAUCACUUGUGAAAGAGCUUUUUGUAAGCCCUUUAUCUGGGUCAAGGACGCUGAAUCACAAAGUACAAGGAGGCUCUUCACAGGUAGGGGAACAAGACUCAGCUGCUGCAGACUCCCAGGUCUGUGGCGAGCCUCAAAUGGCUCUACAAGCCCUGGUCUCCUUCCUGCAGCUUUCAGCGUGGCGGAUGAAAGGCAGUCCAGAGCUGGAAAGAGUCCUGUCUGGCGUUGCUAUUUCAGUGCUAAUGAGCUGUCUGCAGCCCUCUGCCAGGCUUGGAGAGAGCUUUUCAUGUACUGCACCUGUGUUAGCAGCCACCGGUAUGAGGAGGAUUUGUGGCCCUAAAGAACUACAAAUGACCUUUUUGCUUUGAGGCUCUCCAGGGUAAGAGGGUUCACAAUGGUGGCAGAAGGGACAAAAUGAGAAUAUCUGUUCCCCAAUGUUAGGCUGGCUUCCCUGGCCAAGGCCAGAAGGUGGCGCUGUGGUUCAACUGCCUGAGAUGCUUUCACAUUUGUGUCUCUUUUAGUGCAGUAAAAUAUGCAUAACAAAAGUUUUAAUUAUUUUUAAGUUUAUUGUUCAGUGUCAUUUACUAAUUCAUAUAACUUUGCAG
ensembl:lncRNA LOC102547830 uncharacterized LOC102547830